UACGUAGGGUGCGAGCGUUGCCCGGAUUUAUUGGGCGUAAAGGGCGCGCAGGCGGCCACGCACGUCCGUUGUGAAAUCGCCCGGCUCAACUGGGCGGGGUCGGCGGAUACGGCGUGGCUGGAGCAAGCUAGGGGGUAGUGGAAUUCCCGGUGUAGUGGUGGAAUGCGUAGAGAUCGGGAGGAACACCGGUGGCGAAGGCGGCCUUCUGGACGGUGACUGACGCUGAGGCGCGAAAGCGUGGGGAGCAAACGGG
rnacentral:rRNA from 1 species